CCGCGUGAGGGAUGACGGCUUUCGGGUUGUAAACCUCUUUCGCUACCGAACAAGGCUCCAUUUUUGUGGGGUUGAGGGUAGGUGGAUAAGAAGCGCCGGCUAACUACGUGCCAGCAGCCGCGGUAAUACGUAGGGCGCGAGCGUUGUCCGGAAUUAUUGGGCGUAAAGAGCUCGUAGGCGGCUUGUCGCGUCUGCUGUGAAAACGCGGGGCUUAACUCCGCGCGUGCAGUGGGUACGGGCAGGCUAGAGUGUGGUAGGGGUGAUUGGAAUUCCUGGUGUAGCGGUGGAAUGCGCAGAUAUCAGGAGGAACACCGAUGGCGAAGGCAGGUCACUGGGCCAUUACUGACGCUGAGGAGCGAAAGCAUGGGGAGCGAACAGGAUUAGAUACCCUGGUAGUCCAUGCCGUAAACGUUGGGCACUAGGUGUGGGGCCUGUUUCCACGGGUUCUGCGCCGUAGCUAACGCAUUAAGUGCCCCGCCUGGGGAGUACGGCCGCAAGGCU
rnacentral:rRNA from 1 species